GAUGAACGCUAGCGGCAGGCCUAACACAUGCAAGUCGAGGGGUAACAGAAGAGAGCUUGCUUUCUUGCUGACGACCGGCGCACGGGUGCGUAACGCGUAUGCAACCUACCUCUUACUGGAGGAUAGCCCGGAGAAAUCCGGAUUAAUACUCCAUGGUAUUAUUCUUUCGCAUGUUAGAAUAAUUAAAGGUUACGGUAAGAGAUGGGCAUGCGUCCCAUUAGCUAGAUGGUAAGGUAACGGCUUACCAUGGCAACGAUGGGUAGGGGGCCUGAGAGGGUGAUCCCCCACACUGGUACUGAGACACGGACCAGACUCCUACGGGAGGCAGCAGUGAGGAAUAUUGGGCAAUGGAGGCAACUCUGACCCAGCCAUGCCGCGUGCAGGAAGAAUGCCCUAUGGGUUGUAAACUGCUUUUAUUUGGGAAUAAACUCCGGUACGUGUACCGGCCUGAAUGUACCAAACGAAUAAGCACCGGCUAACUCCG
rnacentral:rRNA from 1 species